UUAUGUGCGAAAAGUAAUGCGAAUUGCAUACCUCUGCGAGUCAUCUAGUCUUUGAACGCAAAUGGCACUGUCUUGUCAAGAGAUAGUAUGCCUGUUUGAGAACCAUAUAACCAAUCACACUAUGUGUUUGUGCUCGUGUGCAUUGUACUCGAGUGGAACGAAUAGGUGCAUUAGAUGUGCAAUUAGUGUGAUAGUCACUCACUAAACAUGCAUGUCUUGUCAAGUGCGCUACCUGAGCUUUGCUCAACAUAUCACAUGGUCUCAAAUCAGGCAAGAUUACCCGCUGAACUUAA
rnacentral:misc_RNA from 1 species